GAUGAACGCUAGCGGCAGGCCUAAUACAUGCAAGUCGAACGGGUUGUUGUAGCAAUACAACGAUCAGUGGCGCACGGGUGCGUAACGCGUAUGCAACCUACCUUAAACUGGGGGAUAGCCUUCCGAAAGGGAGAUUAAUACCGCAUAAGAUCACACGAGGGCAUCUGAGAGUGAUUAAAGAUUUAUUGGUUUAAGAUGGGCAUGCGUGCCAUUAGCUAGUUGGUAGGGUAAUGGCCUACCAAGGCUACGAUGGCUAGGGGUUCUGAGAGGAUGAUCCCCCACACUGGUACUGAGAUACGGACCAGACUCCUACGGGAGGCAGCAGUAGGGAAUAUUGGGCAAUGGACGGAAGUCUGACCCAGCCAUGCCGCGUGCAGGAUGAAGGCCUUCUGGGUUGUAAACUGCUUUUAUCUAGGAAGAAAACGCCCAUGCGUGGGAAACUGACGGUACUAGAUGAAUAAGCACCGGCUAACUCCGUGC
rnacentral:rRNA from 1 species